GUAAUACUUCCUCCGUUCGGAAUUACUUGUCUCGGAAAUGGAUGUAUCUAGAACUAAAAUAUAUCUAGAUACAUUCAUUUCCACGACAAGUAAUUCUGAACGAAGGGAGUAGUAU
rnacentral:pre_miRNA from 1 species